rnacentral:rRNA from 1 species
GACGAACGCUGGCGGCGUGCUUAACACAUGCAAGUCGAACGAUGAAGGAGAGCUUGCUCUCCGGAUUAGUGGCGAACGGGUGAGUAACACGUGACUAACCUGCCCCUUUCUCUGGGAUAACGCUCCGAAAGGAGUGCUAAUACCGGAUACGAACUCUGAACACAUGUUCGGAGUUGGAAAGUUUUUCGGAAAGGGAUGGAGUCGCGGCCUAUCAGCUUGUUGGUGAGGUAAUGGCUCACCAAGGCGACGACGGGUAGCCGGCCUGAGAGGGCGACCGGCCACACUGGAACUGAGACACGGCCCAGACUCCUACGGGAGGCAGCAGUGGGGAAUAUUGCACAAUGGGCGAAAGCCUGAUGCAGCGACGCCGCGUGAGGGAUGAAGGUCUUCGGAUUGUAAACCUCUCUCAGUAGGGACGAAGCGAAAGUGACGGUACCUAAAGAAGAAGCACCGGCUAACUACGUGCCAGCCGCCGCAGUAA